rnacentral:lncRNA from 1 species
AAUAAAUAAAUAAAAGAAAAAUCUUGGACUUGGACCUCUCUCAUUUGAGCCCACAGGUCCACAAAAAUCAGGUUAUAAAUUCAGAGUUUCAGUGAAACAAAUAUUCAUUCAUUACCCUAUCUGGGAAAAAGAUAGUGAGAGAAGAACCCUGGGGAAAAAGAAAGUGAGAGAAGAGCUAACAGAGUUCAGAGCAAUCUCCAGAGACUGAAGGGAACUCAUCAGCAAAGAACCAAUUC